rnacentral:rRNA from 1 species
GAUGAACGCUGGCGGCGUGCCUAAUACAUGCAAGUCGAGCGAACAGACGAGGAGCUUGCUCCUCUGACGUUAGCGGCGGACGGGUGAGUAACACGUGGAUAACCUACCUAUAAGACUGGGAUAACUUCGGGAAACCGGAGCUAAUACCGGAUAAUAUAUUGAACCGCAUGGUUCAAUAGUGAAAGACGGUUUUGCUGUCACUUAUAGAUGGAUCCGCGCCGCAUUAGCUAGUUGGUAAGGUACGGCUUACCAAGGCAACGAUGCGUAGCCGACCUGAGAGGGUGAUCGGCCACACUGGAAAUGAGACACGGUCCAGACUCCGACGGGAGGCAGCAGUAGGGAAUCUUCCGCAAUGGGCGAAAGCCUGACGGAGCAACGCCGCGUGAGUGAUGAAGGUCUUCGGAUCGUAAAACUCUGUUAUUAGGGAAGAACAAAUGUGUAAGUAACGAUGCACGUCUGGACGGUACCUAAUCAGAAAGCCACGGCGAACUACGG